UAACCACUCAAGCCUUCGCUUGGUAUUGGGGCUCGCGGUCGCGCGGCCCCUAAAAUCAGUGGCGGUGCCGGCUGGCUCUACGCGUAGUAAUACUCCUCGCGUCUGGGUCCGGUCGGUUGCCUGCCAGCAACCCCCCAUUUUUACA
rnacentral:misc_RNA from 1 species